UCUCCUUAGAAAGGAGGUGAUCCAGCCGCAGGUUCUCCUACGGCUACCUUGUUACGACUUCACCCCAAUCACUAAUCCCACCUUCGGCCGCGUGGGUGAUGAAGGUCUUCGGAUUGUAAAGCCCUGUUUUCUAGGACGAUAAUGACGGUACUAGAGGAGGAAGCCACGGCUAACUACGUGCCAGCAGCCGCGGUAAUACGUAGGUGGCGAGCGUUGUCCGGAUUUACUGGGCGUAAAGGGUGCGUAGGCGGAUGUUUAAGUGGGAUGUGAAAUCCCCGGGCUUAACCUGGGGGCUGCAUUCCAAACUGGAUAUCUAGAGUGCAGGAGAGGAAAGCG
rnacentral:rRNA from 1 species